rnacentral:rRNA from 1 species
UACGUAGGGACCGAGCGUUGUCCGGAUUCAUUGGGCGUAAAGAGCUCGUAGGCGGCUGCUCAAGUCGAAUGUGAAAACUCGAGGCUCAACCUCGAGCCUGCAUUCGAUACUGGGCGGCUAGAGUCUGGUAGGGGGAUCUGGAAUUCCUGGUGUAGCGGUGAAAUGCGCAGAUAUCAGGAGGAACACCAAUUGCGAAGGCAGCUCGCUGGGACGUUACUGACGCUGAGACGCGAAAGCGUGGGGAGCAAACAGG